CAAAAAAAUUGACUAUUUUUUUUUCAGCUAUAACGAAAAUAUUAUUCAGAAUGACAAAAAAAAAAUUUCAUAAAAGUUUGAGCCCUUAAUAUUAAUUUUUAGAGCUCAAUCAUCGCUAUUUUUAAUUUUAAUUCAUAAUUUGAUGUUUUACGUCAGAACUGCUAAAACAUUGGAGUAAAAAAUAACAAUUUUUACUUAUUCUUAUGUAAAAUUAAAUUCCCUACAAAAAAGGUCUGAUUGAAAAUUUUCGUCAGACAAGCCGAUUCCGAUUGUUAUGUCCGACUUCGCAAACUUUUUUCAAACUCAUGUUGAACACUCCUAGGGAAUAAAUAUUCCAUUUUCUCAUAAGAGAAACCAGGAUGGGUUCAAUUGAGCGAUAUAGAACGACAUAUCAGAUUUCUUUAUUCUGUCUUUUAUUCCCUUAUCCUUCUUAAGUUCCCCACUUACUUCUUACAACAAUUAUUCUAAUGCGUGGUAACACCCACAACUAGCAUUGACUUAAAUUGAUUUGUGUCAACGGGGCAUCUUAUACGAUGCACCUCACCAGAAAACCCCCUCUUUUCCAAACUCGGACCCCCAUGGUUGCAGCGUUUAAAAUUUUGAAGAGCAAAUUACUCUACCGAGCACCGGUUUGCUUUUCGGUUAUUAGUUGAUUAGUUUCAGCGAAGAGUCGCAAUUUGGUACAUAGUAUCUUUUCAAAAAUCUCUCAAAUAAUUUUAUUCAGGAAAUAAAAUUAUCAAACCAAUUAAAUAAAUAUAUAUACUAUAUAUUUAUAACAAAUAUACAAAACAAAGCAAAGAAAAAGUUAUCCCGGGUCGAAAAAUUUGAUCUGAUUUUAGUCUAACUGGACUGUAUUUGGACUACUUGGUCUGUUAUUGAACUUCGAUAAAAAUUUUAAUCUGUUUUUGAUCUACCCGGGCUGAACAAUUUGACCUGAUUUUAGUCUGAUUGGACUAUUUGAUCUGAUUUUGAUCUUUUAUGAAAAUUUUAAGCUGUUUUCGACCUGCUACUUUAAAAAACAAACGCGUUACGAGCAGACUAAAUUAGAUUAAUUCGUGGACUUUAAAAAAUUUUAAUUCUGAAAAUUUACAAGGACAAAACUAGAUUAAAUCAUGGACUUAUAAAAUUUUUAUUUAUGGGCAAUAUUUAUGAAAAAAUUGUAAGUUGCAGAAUUGAUUAUGUUUUAUUUACUAUCUUUUGUUUAAAAAUGUCGGCAGUUGAUGAAAAUUUGACAGCUUAAUUUUUUAGUUGUCUUCAUUGAAUAUUUAUAUCAUUGAAUAAAAGUGAUAAAACAACUUUUGAAAUGUCAAGAAUUUUCUCUUAUUUACUGGAUAAAAUUGAAAAUAUUUUGGCAUAAGAAAACAUCAAAAUUCUUGUGCUACGGAGAAAAAUGUUGGCUCGCAAUCUACCAAUUUUUAUUAUGCUGUCGACCAAACUUGAAACAGAAAGUAAAGUAUCCAAAAAAUUACUAUACUGCAUCAAAAUUAUUAUAAUGUAUGGAAGUAAUUGAUAUCAAAGCUCAUCGAUAAGUUUCUCGCGCGUAAUAAGUAAUGUGAUACAGUACAAUCAUUUUUUGUAAGAGCACGAUAAUUUUUUGGAUGCUUUACUCCCUGUUUCAAGUUUAGUCGACAGCAUUGUAAAAAUUGGUAGGUUUCGAGCCAACAUUUUCUCUGUGUGACAUCUUAUUAUGGAAGCGCAUUAGCAUGUUUUAAAUACCAAGAAAAAUAAAAUAAAUUAAUAAAUCUAGAUUAUUAUUAUUAUUAUUAUUUAUAUUUAUAAAAAGUCCUGUAUUUGUCCUUAAAAACAAUUGAACACAGACCAAUAAUUAUAAUAAAAAAGUCUGUUUGUAGUCUAAACUUGAUUUAAAACAGACUAAAUAUCAUACGAAAAUAAGUCUGAUAUUAGCCUGGAUAAGGAAUAGUACGGGCAAAAACAGAUCAAAUUCUUAUAUAAAAUAAAUAUGAUUUAUAAACUUGAAUUAAAGGAAAAAUAUUUGAAUUUAUCAUUUAUUUUAAAACAGAUCUAAUUUUUUGACCCGGGAUAUCAGUGAAAGAAAAAUAUAUUAAAAUAUACAGCUUAAAGAAAGCAAUUAAUUAAAUCGCGUAGCGAAGAGGAAAAAAAAUUAUAAUACAAAGAAAAAGAAAAUUCCAAUAAAUAAUAGUGUUAUCGGUUGUGAGUUAAUAGUUAAGUGCUUAAUAGCAUUGCUCAGUGUAAUUAAAUUGAAAUAAUAAAUAUUGUAACGUGAAUACAUGUUCAAAAAUAAAAGUCCAAUCCUUUAAAAGAGUACCAUCUCUAUUUCCGCUCAGGAAAAUUAAAGGAAUAUUAUUCCGGUAAAACAUAAAACUAAAAAUAUAGAAACUAGAAGAUCUCAGUGUAUACAAAAAGUGUAAUAAAUGUUAAGAAAUAAAGACACGAGCCUAUAAAGAGUAUCAUCUCUAUUUUCUUUUAAGAAAAAUAAAGGCAUUUUUUUGUUUAUUAAAGAUUAAAGUUUAAAAGUUAAAUAAAGGCAAAAUCAAAGUGAAAGACUGUUUUUGUGUUUGAUUAAUUAAAAAAAGUUCCGGGAUAAAAAAAAUGUAUGUCAUUAUACAUAAUUAUAUGUAGAAAAUGGUCUAUUACGAUCACAUAUAAUUAUAUAGGGGAGGGUGGGGCAGAGCGGCCCCCCUAAGCCAAUUAUUAUUUUUUGUGGAUUUCAACCAUAAGAUCACUUUACUUCUGUCCUAUUUCGAACAAAUUUAUGGAAAUUUUGCCGAAAUUCUGAAAAAAAAAUUUUUUUUUUUGUGGGGCAGAGCGGCCCCCCUUUAAAAAGUGAUAAAAAAAUUUUUUUUUUUUCGUUUUUUAAUUUUUUAAAUUGUUUUCAUCAUUAAGAAUGUAUUUCUUUCUCUUGACAACUAUUUUUUGUUUUAUAUUACUCGAAAAAAAUUUUUUAAAGUGUAAUAAAUCGUUCACUCUCGAUUACCUUAAUUACUAAUUGUUAUUUAAUAAAAAAAAAAAUCAAUUCUAUAGUUUUACUUUAUUUCAAAAAUUUAUCAACUAAAAAAAAAAAUUUAAUUUUUAUAAAUUUUUAGUGACCAAAUUUGCCUUUUACAUAGAGAAACAGCUGAAAAAUAUGAAAAAAAAAUUUUUUUUGAAGUUCCGGUUGGUCCGUUUUGCCCCAGGUGUUAUGCGUAGGGCUGGAAAUGUGGAAUUAUAAUAAUUUUUUUUUAAUUUGAUGAUAAAAAUAUGAAAAAAUCACUUUUUCGAAAUUUUGGGCUUGUCCAUUUUGCCCCAAAUGUCAUGCGUAGAGGUAAAAAUGCGCAAACAUAUCGGAUUUAUAGUAAUUAGUCGAGAAAAAAAAAAUUUUUUUUUUUAUCAAAAUUUCAGGGGGGCCGCUCUGCCCCACCCUCCCCUAUAAUUACUUACAUUUACAUUUUAUAGUAAUUAAUCGCAAUUCGUGACAUUUUUACCACAACACAGUGAAGUAUGUCACUUUACGGUAAAAUGCCGUAAUUUUUCAGUAAAUUUAUACGUUUAAAAAUAUAAUAAAAUAUCGAAAUUAGACAUAAAAUACCGCAAUUAGCGAGAAAAUUACAUAUCAUCAUGUAUAAUUAUAUACAAUUGGUUUUACCUGAGCUAAUAAACACUGUUUGUACAGAUAUACCAAUGGCUAUGAUACCCCGUUCUUUGUUUAACAAUGAUCGUGGAUAAAAACAAACAAGUUUCCCUUCAACCACUAGAGAUUUCACGGAUCCUAUUUUUAGUAGAUUUCAUAAAAAUCGUUUCAUAAAAAUUUCAUAAAAAAGUGACUUCAGCAUCAAAACACAAGCAGAAAUCGCUCCUGGUAACUCAAGACUCCCGGAAAUAUUCACUAGUCGUUUACACAUUCCAACUUCAAUGAUUCAUAACCCGUUAUUCAACCAGGAUCAUCCAAUGUACAUACUCUACGGUCUACAUAUGUCCUACAUCGCAGUUCAUAUGGUUCACACUCUAACUAAUGUGGAUAGAAAUUCGACAGAUGAUGGAAUACUACCUCCAAAUGAGCGACUCGAUUGUUUCUGUCAUCUACAUGAGGAUUUACCCGACAUGAUAAAGGAAAAAGGACUACAUCGUAAUAAAUUAGAUGAUAUGAUCUUUUUAUACAUCGGACUUCGUACAUCUCGGAAUUCUUAUCAGACAUUCUUCGGCAAGCAUGGCAUAGAAAAACCUCUUCCAGGACUACCGUACCCCCCGGAGCAAUUAUUUUGGAUAUCUUUUGCACAAUCUUUUUGCCCUGAGUAUACAAGCUUGGCUGAACACCGUAGUAUCAAUAACAAUCAGUUUAAUCUUCUUGAAUAGUUAUUGAUGAAAUUACUAUCAAAUAUACCUGAAAUUUCUUCAGAUUUUCAGUGCCCAAUCGAUUCUAAUUUAAAUCCUGCAAAGAAAUGCACUUGGUAGUAAUUUGAAUAAAUUGUUAUGGUGAAAUUUUUUCGAUCAACAUGAGCUCUGUUUGACUUUAGUUUUAGUUUUAGUAAUUAGUAAAGUAGAAAAAACCUCAUUGUGUAAAGACUCUCAUACAAAAAACAAAAAUAUAUAAAUUGUAUAUAACAUGAGAUAAUUAAAGAGUAAAU